AUGGAGAAGAUCACUGGCUUUGAGAAGACGUUCGAAACAAAGCUCGAUAACAAGUUUAAUGAAUUGCUCACGCGUCUUCCACCACCACCACCCGCUGCACCUAACGCACCUCUCCAACAACAACAACAACGACUACCUCCACAUCGCGAAACAGACCUUCGCCGAGCGAGUCGUGUUCCUCUUGCGUUUGGCCAAACUGUUGGUGCUGCUGUUGAUACUUCUGUGGCUCCUGCUGCUGAUGCGGAGGAGGAUGAUUAUGUGGGAGAUUAUGAGGAUGAGGUUGAUCAAAAUCAGCACUACGUGCAGCCACCUGCACCACCACCAGCAGGUCGACCUCAGGUAUAUAUUCGUAAUGGUAGGCCUGCACCACCACCUCAGGUACGAGAUGAUGUCCAUAUUCCUAAACUGAAAUUGAAUAUUCCACCAUUUGAGGGUAGAUAUGUUCCUGAUAUAUAUCUUACUUGGGAGUUAGAAACUGAACAACGAUUUACAUGUUUACAAUAUCCUGAGGAGAGACGAGUUGCUGCUGCUGUUUGUCCUUUCACUAGUUUUGCAUGUGUAUGGUGGUCUGAACAUUGUAGAUUAUAUCCUAUUCCAACUACUUGGGCUGCUUUGAAAACUGCUAUGCGUACUCGUUGGGUUCCACCAUAUUAUCAAGAUGAAUUGCUUCAAAAAUUAUAG
rnacentral:rRNA from 1 species